rnacentral:rRNA from 1 species
GAUGAACGCUGGCGGCGUGCCUAAUACAUGCGAGUCGAGCGAACAGACGAGGAGCUUGCUCCUCUGACGUUAGCGGCGGACGGGUGAGUAACACGUGGAUAACCUACCUAUAAGACUGGGAUAACUUCGGGAAACCGGAGCUAAUACCGGAUAAUAUAUUGAACCGCAUGGUUCAAUAGUGAAAGACGGUUUUGCUGUCACUUAUAGAUGGAUCCGCGCCGCAUUAGCUAGUUGGUAAGGUAACGGCUUACCAAGGCAACGAUGCGUAGCCGACCUGAGAGGGUGAUCGGCCACACUGGAACUGAGACACGGUCCAGACUCCUACGGGAGGCAGUAGUAGGGAAUCUUCCGCAAUGGGCGAAAGCCUGACGGAGCAACGCCGCGUGAGUGAUGAAGGUCUUCGGAUCGUAAAACUCUGUUAUUAGGGAAGAACAAAUGUGUAAGUAACUAUGCACGUCUUGACGGUACCUAAUCAGAAAGCCACGGCUAACUACGUG